AUUGCCCCUAGAGGCGUUACAAGCAUCUCUGAAGUGCCUUGCUUGUGUCAUUAGGUGGCAUAGAUAAACCUGGCUGUGUCUACACUCAGUGCUCGGUACCUCAUGAGGGGCAUUAAGUUUGAUUGUCAGCCAGACACA